GGUGGGGUGGCUGAGUGGCCGAAGGCGCCGCACUCGAAAUGCGGUAUGCCCGUAAGGGCAUCGUGAGUUCGAAUCUCACCCCCACCGCCA
rnacentral:tRNA from 2 species